UACGUAGGGGGCAAGCGUUAUCCGGAUUUACUGGGUGUAAAGGGAGCGUAGACGGCGAUGCAAGUCUGAAGUGAAAGGCGGGGGCCCAACCCCCGGGACUGCUCUGGGAACUGUGCGGCUGGAGUGCGGGAGGGGCAGGCGGAAUUCCUGGUGUAGCGGUGAAAUGCGUAGAUAUCAGGAGGAACACCGGCGGCGAAGGCGGCCUGCUGGACCGCGACUGACGUUGAGGCUCGAAAGCGUGGGGAGCAAACAGG
rnacentral:rRNA from 1 species